rnacentral:rRNA from 1 species
UUUCUAUGGAGAGUUUGAUCCUGGCUCAGGACGAACGCUGGCGGCGUGCCUAAUACAUGCAAGUCGAGCGGACCGAAUGG